rnacentral:rRNA from 1 species
CCGCGUGAAUGAUGAAGGCCUUAGGGUUGUAAAGUUCUUUUGUCAGGGAAGAUGAUGACGGUACCUGAAGAAUAAGCACCGGCUAACUUCGUGC